UACAGAGGUCUCAAGCGUUGUUCGGAUUCAUUGGGCGUAAAGGGUGCGUAGGUGGCGCUGUAAGUCGGGUGUGAAAUUUCGGAGCUUAACUCCGAAACUGCAUUCGAUACUGCCGUGCUUGAGGACUGGAGAGGAGACUGGAAUUUACGGUGUAGCGGUGAAAUGCGUAGACAUCGUAAGGAAGACCAGUGGCGAAGGCGGGUCUCUGGACAGUUCCUGACGCUGAGGCACGAAGGCCAGGGGAGCAAACGGG
rnacentral:rRNA from 1 species